rnacentral:lncRNA from 13 species
UCCUGGUGCUUCUGUUGAAGCUGUGACAACAACUAAGAACAGUGUUGGGAGUGACUACUGCCGGACAUCCUUGCUCACUGAGGGGCAAAGAGACACUAGGGAAAUGUUGAAAACUGGAGGAGCUAUUGAGGGAUUGUGGAAGGCUACGACCCUUUUCCUAGGGCCUCUGUUGUUUUUUUGGUUGAAUGUAUGUCUGUGAUUGUAGAGUUCAGAGAGUACUAAAUCAGCUUUCUUAGAAAGGUCCGAAAGACGGUUUUCUUAUCCCUUACUUCUUAUUCUUCAAUUCCAGCCAUUGUGUCUAUAAGAGUUUUUCGUACAGUCUUACUUAUUCCACAAGCCCAGCCAGAGUGCACAUUCAGGUGCUAUUGUAAAACAACAAAAAAAAGACUUCUACAUGAAUUGCCAGUCAUGGUUAUGUAUGUUAUAACCAGGCCAAUCGUAAUCCACCACGAUUUAUGACAUCAGUGUUCUAGAUUCUCUCCCACCUGCCCUUGAGUAAACUUCUCUUCUCUUUCUCUUUUAAUUAAAGGAACAGCAAGUAUGGUCUUUUUGGCAGGAGGUAUGCAGCGAGUCCGAAAAGACGCAGUAGGGAAAUGACUGUUAUUCACGUCCGCUUGUUGAUAAGUUUUUCUCCUAAAGGGGAACUUUCUGAACAAAAGAGAGUCUGCAACAGUCAGAAAAACAGACAGAUGUGUCUAGUACUCUGACAUCUUCUCUCAAGUCCAACUACCUGCGUAUUCCUUUUUCGCUCUGAGGCCCAAAAAACAGACACUGAUAUACUACUGCAUCUUCAAUGGUGGUCAUAAUUAUAAAUCAGGACUUAGCUCAUGGAGCUACACUUCUGCCAGGAGUUGGGUAGAAGAGGGACAAGGAUAGGGUAGUAGAGGGGUGGAAACUCCUAAAACUCUGUAGAGGGAGAAAAAAAAGAGCAGGUGCCAAAAAUGUCGUCAGCGUAAGCUAGCAGCCCUGAGGAUUCAGGAAUGAGGGGGGGGGAGCUCAGUUUAGUUUGGUUGAUCAGUUGCUCCACUCUAGAAGCUUUCCCAGAAGUCGCCCCGCUCUGGAAUCUCAAAUUGCACUGUUGUAUUUACUGGGAAGGUCUGGGCGCCGUUGGCAACUAGAAGAGAGAAAAGACAGGACAGUUAGGUGUUAGGGUGGACAGGGUUUAUCUAAUAGUGAUGGGGGAAAGAAAUCAAUACAUUUUCAUAUCGGGAUAUACAUUGAUGAUAUAUCGUACUGACAAUAUUUAAAUAAUAUUUUUGAGCUAGUUGGCUGUACCUGCACCAAAAUGUCAGUAUCUUACCUUCAUAGCUUGUUCACCAUCUUCCUUUAAUUUGUUUUUAGCACUGAUUUCCAUGUCUGAUCAAAACAGAGAGUCUGGAGAUAGAACUUUC